rnacentral:rRNA from 1 species
CAAUAGCGUAUAUUAACGUUGUUGCAGUUAAAAAGCUCGUAGUUGGAUUUCUGGAGGGAGCGUCGGCCCGUAUUUACGAGUGCGUGACGUCUCUGUCCAUCCUUGCGGGAAGGCACGGCAUUGAUUUGUUGUGUCGGAUCGCAUCAUUUACUGUGAAAAAAUUGGAGUGUUCAAAGCAGGCUUUCGCUUGAAUACAUUAGCAUGGAAUAAUAAGAUAGGACUUUGGUGCUAUUUUGUUGGUUGAGCCUAAAGUAAUGAUUAAUAGGGAUAGUUGGGGGCACCUGUAUUGCGUUGUCAGAGGUGAAAUUCUUGGAUUUACGCAAGACAAACAGCUGCGAAAGCGUCUGCCAAGGAUGUUUUCAUUA